GAUGAACUCUGGCGGCGUGCCUAACACAUGCAAGUCGAGCGAAGCGCUUUACUUGAAUUCUUCGGAAGGAAAGUAUUGUGACUGAGCGGCGGACGGGUGAGUAACGCGUGGGUAACCUGCCUCAUACAGGGGGAUAACAGUUAGAAAUGACUGCUAAUACCGCAUAAGACCACAGCACCGCAUGGUGCGGGGGUAAAAACUCCGGUGGUAUGAGAUGGACCCGCGUCUGAUUAGCUAGUUGGUAAGGUAAGGGCUUACCAAGGCGACGAUCAGUAGCCGACCUGAGAGGGUGACCGGCCACAUUGGGACUGAGACACGGCCCAAACUCCUACGGGAGGCAGCAGUGGGGAAUAUUGCACAAUGGGGGAAACCCUGAUGCAGCGACGCCGCGUGAGUGAUGAAGUAUUUCGGUAUGUAAAGCUCUAUCAGCAGGGAAGAAAAUGACGGUACCUGACUAAGAAGCACCGGCUAAAUACGUGCCAGCAGCCGCGGUAAUACGUAUGGUGCAAGCGUUAUCCGGAUUUACUGGGUGUAAAGGGAGCGUAGACGGAGAGGCAAGUCUGAUGUGAAAACCCGGGGCUCAACCCCGGGACUGCAUUGGAAACUGUUUUUCUAGAGUGUCGGAGAGGCAAGUGGAAUUCCUAGUGUAGCGGUGAAAUGCGUAGAUAUUAGAAGGAACACCAGUGGCGAAGGCGGCUUGCUGGACGAUGACUGACGUUGAGGCUCGAAAGCGUGGGGAUCUAAAAGGAUUAGAUACCCUGGUAGUCCACNCCGUAAACGCCCUCAAAGGGGGUGUCGGGUGGCAAACCCAUUCGGUUCCGCCACCAAACGCAAAUAAGUAUCCCACCUGGGGAGGUCGUUCGCAAGAAGAAACUUCAAAGGAAUUGACGGGGACCCGCACAAGCGGUGGAGCAUGUGGUUUAAUUGGAAGCAACGCGAAGAACCUUACCUGUUCUUGACAUCCCCCUGACCGUCCCUUAAUCGGGGCUUUCCUUCGGGACAGGGGAGACAGGUGGUGCAUGGUUGUCGUCAGCUCGUGUCGUGAGAUGUUGGGUUAAGUCCCGCAACGAGCGCAACCCCUAUCUUUAGUAGCCAGCGGCCAGGCCGGGCACUCUAGAGAGACUGCCAGGGAUAACCUGGAGGAAGGUGGGGAUGACGUCAAAUCAUCAUGCCCCUUAUGAGCAGGGCUACACACGUGCUACAAUGGCGUAAACAAAGGGAGGCAGAGCCGCGAGGCCGAGCAAAUCUCAAAAAUAACGUCUCAGUUCGGAUUGUAGUCUGCAACUCGACUACAUGAAGCUGGAAUCGCUAGUAAUCGCGAAUCAGAAUGUCGCGGUGAAUACGUUCCCGGGUCUUGCACUAAGCGCCCGUCA
rnacentral:rRNA from 1 species